rnacentral:rRNA from 1 species
AGGAUGAACGCUGGCGGCGUGCCUAAUACAUGCAAGUCGAGCGGAAAGGCCUCUUCGGAGGUACUCGAGCGGCGGACGGCUGAGUAACGCGUAGGAACGUACCCCAAAGUGAGGGAUAAGCACCAGAAAUGGUGUCUAAUACCGCAUGUGAUCUAAGGAUUAAAGCUUCGGCGCUUUGGGAACGGCCUGCGUAUGAUUAGCUUGUUGGUGAGGUAAUGGCUCACCAAGGCUUUGAUCAUUAGCUGGUCUGAGAGGAUGAUCAGCCAGACUGGGACUGAGAACGGCCCAGACUCCUACGGGAGGCAGCAGUAGGGAAUUUUCCACAAUGGGCGAAAGCCUGAUGGAGCAACGCCGCGUGCAGGAUGAAUGCCUUCGGGUUGUAAACUGCUUUUAUAUGUGACGAAUAUGACGGUAGCAUAUGAAUAAGGAUCGGCUAACUCCGUGCCAGCAGCCGCGGU